rnacentral:rRNA from 1 species
GACGUAGGGCGCGAGCGUUGUCCGGAUUUAUUGGGCGUAAAGAGCGUGUAGGCGGUCCGGUAAGUCAGCUGUGAAAGUCAAGGGCUCAACCCUUGAAUGCCGGUUGAUACUGUCGGGCUAGAGUCCGGAAGAGGCGAGUGGAAUUCCCGGUGUAGCGGUGAAAUGCGCAGAUAUCGGGAGGAACACCAAUGGCGAAGGCAGCUCGCUGGGACGGUACUGACGCUGAGACGCGAAAGCGUGGGGAGCAAACAGG